rnacentral:rRNA from 1 species
UACGGAGGGGGCUAUCGUUGUUCGGAAUUACUGGGCGUAAAGCGCGCGUAGGCGGACCUGCAAGUCGGGUGUGAAAGCCCGAGGCUCAACCUCGGAACUGCCUUCGAUACUGCGGGUCUCGAGUCCGGGAGAGGUGAGUGGAAUUCCUAGUGUAGAGGUGAAAUUCGUAGAUAUUAGGAAGAACACCAGUGGCGAAGGCGGCUCACUGGCCCGGUACUGACGCUGAGGUGCGAAAGCGUGGGGAGCAAACAGG